AUUGAACGCUGGCGGCAUGCUUUACACAUGCAAGUCGAACGGUAACAGGGUGCUUGCACCGCUGACGAGUGGCGAACGGGUGAGUAAUGCAUCGGAAUGUACCGUGUAAUGGGGGAUAGCUCGGCGAAAGCCGGAUUAAUACCGCAUACGCCCUGAUGGGGAAAGUGGGGGACCGAAAGGCCUCACGGUAUACGAGCAGCCGAUGUCUCAUUAGCUAGUUGGUGAGGUAAAGGCUCACCAAGGCGGCGAUCAGUAGCGGGUCUGAGAGGAUGAUCCGCCACACUGGAACUGAGACACGGCCCAGACUCCUACGGGAGGCAGCAGUGGGGAAUUUUCCACAAUGGGCGAAAGCCUGAUCCAGCCACGCCGCGUGUCUGAUGAAGGCCUUCGGGUUGUAAAGGACUUUUGUCCGGGAGCAAAUCCUAUUGGUUAAUAACCGCUGGGUCUGAGAGUACCGGAAGAAUAAGCACCGGCUAACUACGUG
rnacentral:rRNA from 1 species